AUAUUUCCCACAUUCAUAUAGAUGUCAAUGAAUCUAGAUAGAUAUAGUUUCACAAUGUAAGUCAUUCUAGUAUUUCCCACAUUCAUAUUGAUGUCUAUCUAGAUUCAUUAACAUCAAUAUGAAUGUGGGAAAUAUCUAUC
rnacentral:misc_RNA from 1 species